rnacentral:rRNA from 1 species
AUUGAACGCUGGCGGCAUGCCUUACACAUGCAAGUCGAACGGCAGCACGGGAGCAAUCCUGGUGGCGAGUGGCGAACGGGUGAGUAAUAUAUCGGAACGUGCCCAGUCGUGGGGGAUAACGUAGCGAAAGCUACGCUAAUACCGCAUACGAUCUACGGAUGAAAGCGGGGGAUCGCAAGACCUCGCGCGAGUGGAGCGGCCGAUGUCAGAUUAGGUAGUUGGUGGGGUAAAGGCUCACCAAGCCAACGAUCUGUAGCUGGUCUGAGAGGACGACCAGCCACACUGGAACUGAGACACGGUCCAGACUCCUACGGGAGGCAGCAGUGGGGAAUUUUGGACAAUGGGCGCAAGCCUGAUCCAGCCAUUCCGCGUGCAGGAUGAAGGCCUUCGGGUUGUAAACUGCUUUUGUACGGAACGAAACGGCGAGCUCUAAUACAGUUUGCUAAUGACGGUACCGUAAGAAUAAGCACCGGCUAACUACGUG